UGAAGAGAGAAAAUCGUACAAGCCACUCACAUGAAACCAGGUGCACAUCACUUCCAUAUCAUGAGCUCUAGGGUCAUUUCCUAUCCAGCAGGCUGCAGUCCAGUCUUUCCUGGGGAAUGAUGCCAAAGCCAUUGCCUGUCUAGAGGCAGCCACCAACAACCGACCCUCACCUCCUAUCUUCAUUCUGCUGGGCAAGACUCCGAUGAAGCCCAACGAUGCCCUGGUCUACAAGCGGUGGAGGACUACAGAACAGAAGGUGAACUCCAAGAGGCACCUGAGGACUGAGAUGAGCCAUCCCCAUAGUAGUGGUACUGUACAGUCUGUCUCCAUAUGAUGCUACUCAAAUCAAAGUUUUUGUAUUAAGUACUUGAUGUGUUUAGGUCUGUUAAAUCACUCAACCAGUAGGUCUGAACCUGACAAAUGGUUGACGGUAAAGAUACUGUCAAUCAAAAUUGAUACUUUGUGCAUAGGAAUCUUUAUUUUGUGUUAUGCAUUUAAAG
ensembl:lncRNA